GACAGAGGGUGCAACCGUUGUUCGGAAUUACUGGGCGUAAAGCGAGUGUAGGCGGUCUCGUAAGUCGGAUGUGAAAGCCCUGGGCUCAACCCAGGAAGUGCACUCGAAACUGCGAGACUCGAGUAUCGGAGAGGUUGGUGGAAUUCUCGGUGUAGAGGUGAAAUUCGUAGAUAUCGAGAGGAACACCGGUGGCGAAGGCGGAUCUCUGGACAGUUACUGACACUGAGGCACGAAGGCCAGGGGAGCAAACGGG
rnacentral:rRNA from 1 species